GACGGAUGCUUCAAGUAAGAAAUCGGAAUCACAUGUCGUCUCUUUUGGGUCUCUCCGACGUACACGGCGAAAAACCCCUUCGGAACAGUCGAUGACGAUUUUCUAGGGCUGUUUAUCAAGCGGAAUCCCAUGGACUCUCAAAAAGAUGGUUUUGCUGAUGUCAGAACCUCAUGAGAAUUAUGGAAAGCUCUACCUGGCAAAAGGGAAAGAGGGAACUCUGAUGUCACCCAUUGGAUGAUCAUAUUCAAAUUAUUCUUCUUCCUGACUUGACAAAUCUUGAAAUGAAGGUUGAUUCAAGUGGGAUAACCCCAAUUCCUGCCUGAAAGGAUCAUUAAAGUUUGGAAAAUUCUUUUGAUAAUUGAAAUAUGGAAGCUCCUGUUUUGUUAAUGCUAGAUUGCAGGGGGAUAUACGUUCAUUGUGUAUGAACAAAAGUAUAUAUUAUGCAUGUUAAAUGGAGAGAUCUUUGAUACUUGACCGUUUUAAAUUAGUUUUAGUAGCAAUAGCCCGAAAGGGGUAGCCCUUUGUCUGAAUUUUUGGGCGAGUUCAACAUGGAUGAUGCUCGAUGUCU